rnacentral:rRNA from 1 species
UACAAAGGGAGCUAGCGUUGUUCGGAAUCACUGGGCGUAAAGCGCACGUAGGCGGAUUUGUCAGUCAGGGGUGAAAUCCCGGGGCUCAACCUCGGAACUGCCUUUGAUACAGCAAGUCUUGAGUUCGAGAGAGGUGGGUGGAAUUCCUAGUGUAGAGGUGAAAUUCGUAGAUAUUAGGAAGAACACCGGUGGCGAAGGCGGCCCACUGGCUCGAUACUGACGCUGAGGUGCGAAAGCGUGGGGAGCAAACAGG